UACGUAGGGUGCAAGCGUUGUCCGGAAUUAUUGGGCGUAAAGAGCUCGUAGGCGGUCUGUCGCGUCUGCUGUGAAAACUCGGGGCUUAACCCCGGGCCUGCAGUGGGUACGGGCAGACUAGAGUGCGGUAGGGGAGACUGAAAUUCCUGGUGUAGCGGUGAAAUGCGCAGAUAUCAGGAGGAACACCGGUGGCGAAGGCGGUUCUCUGGGACGGUACUGACGCUGAGACGCGAAAGCGUGGGGAGCGAACAGG
rnacentral:rRNA from 1 species